rnacentral:rRNA from 1 species
UACGAAGGGGGCUAGCGUUGUUCGGAAUCACUGGGCGUAAAGCGCACGUAGGCGGAUCGGUAAGUCAGAGGAGAAAGCCCGGGGCUCAACCCCGGAAUUGCCUUUGAAACUACCAAUCUAGAGACUCGGAGGGGACAGUGGAAUUCCUAAUGUAGGGGUGAAAUCCGUAGAUAUUAGGAGGAACACCAGCGGCGAAGGCGGCUGUCUGGACGAGUACUGACGCUGAGGUGCGAAAGCGUGGGGAGCAAACAGG